UGGGGAAUAUUGCACAAUGGGCGCAAGCCUGAUGCAGCCAUGCCGCGUGUGUGAAGAAGGCCUUCGGGUUGUAAAGCACUUUCAGCGGGGAGGAAGGCGGUGAGGUUAAUAACCUCAUCGAUUGACGUUACCCGCAGAAGAAGCACCGGCUAACUCCGUGCCAGCAGCCGCGGUAAUACGGAGGGUGCGAGCGUUAAUCGGAAUUACUGGGCGUAAAGCGCACGCAGGCGGUCUGUCAAGUCGGAUGUGAAAUCCCCGGGCUCAACCUGGGAACUGCAUUCGAAACUGGCAGGCUAGAGUCUUGUAGAGGGGGGUAGAAUUCCAGGUGUAGCGGUGAAAUGCGUAGAGAUCUGGAGGAAUACCGGUGGCGAAGGCGGCCCCCUGGACAAAGACUGACGCUCAGGUGCGAAAGCGUGGGGAGCAAACAGGGUUAGAUACCCUGGUAGUCCACGCUGUAAACGAUGUCGAUUUGGAGGUUGUGCCCUUGAGGCGUGGCUUCCGGAGCUAACGCGUUAAAUCGACCGCCUGGGGAGUACGGCCGCAAGGUUA
rnacentral:rRNA from 1 species